ACCCGGAUUCUUACCCCUCCCCCCGGACCUUCAUCCCCUACCCGCUCCGGGGAGUGGGAGCCGCUGGCGCUGGGGGGGGGGCUGUGGCCUGCCCGAGCGACCAGGGCGCUGCUUUGCGGCAGAGGUGGCCCGGGGCCCAAUCAGACCGUGCGACCCCGCGCGAGCGUCCCAACUCCCGGGCUCUGUCCCUCCGGCGCGCGGCCUCUGCCAGAGAGAAGCAAAGACACAUAGGCAGAGGGAGAAGAAGCAGGCUCCAUGCAGGGAGCCCGACGUGGGAUUCAAUCCUGGGACCACGGGAUCACACCCUGAACCAAAGGCAGAUGCUGAAACGGCUGAGCCUCCCAGGCGUCCCCCAAGAACCUUUUCUAGGGGAGACAGAAUGAAAGGAAAGAAAGAAGUGAAAAUGAAGAGGCCAGUGCUGAUGUUCUGG